rnacentral:rRNA from 1 species
AUGAUACCGAAGGUUGAUAGCCCAGAACUGGUAACACAAUUCCACCCCAUAAGUUUGUGUAAUGUACUUUACAAAAUUAUUUCUAAGAUGCUAGCAUUGAGGCUGAAAAAUAUUUUACCCGAGAUGAUUUCCCCAACUCAGAGUGCAUUUGUACCUGAAAGAAUGAUUACAGAUAAUAUCCUGAUUGCCUAUGAAUGUGUCCACAAGAUAAAGAACAAGAAAAGAGGUCAAUCGGGCCUAUGUGCAAUUAAGUUGGACAUGCACAAGGCAUAUGACAGAGUUGAGUGGUCAUUCUUGCAUGAUAUGAUGGUCAAGUUAGGUUUUCAUGAGCAAUGGAUCCAAAUGAUGAUGGCUUGUGUGAGUUCUGUUAACUACAAAGUAAGAUUCAAUUCCCAGGAAACAGAGGCGUUCUACCCAUCUAGGGGCAUCAGGCAGGGUGACCCCCUAUCUCCCUACUUAUUCCUUCUUUGUGCAGAAGGUCUCUCUAGUCUAUUGUAG